rnacentral:lncRNA from 1 species
UGCAUUUUCCGGUGACCGGUCUUAGUUUCAUCCGGUGGUUGAACGCCGUUCUUCUCCGAUUGCGAAGAAGGAGGGUAACACUUUCUCUGUUCUAAGUGUUGUAUAUGUUGCAUGUCAGUUCUGGCUUGAUUGUGAUCUGUUCAUUGAGACUAUUUCUGUGUUGUUAACCUUUUUCAUUAUUCAUGGCUGAUAAUAUGAAUACUAAUACCUCCCCCGCGGACUCUACUAGUCCCCUCAUAAUUUACUCCUCUGACGUUCCUGGUAUGUCUCUUGUGUCCACUCCCUUUUCAGGCAGUGGUUAUGGAGGUUGGAGG